rnacentral:rRNA from 1 species
GACGAACGCUGGCGGCGUGCUUAACACAUGCAAGUCGAACGGAAAGGCCCUGCUUUUGUGGGGUGCCCGAGGGGCGAACGGGUGAGUAACACGUGAGUAUCCUGCCCUUGACUUUGGGAUAACUUCAGGAAACUGGGGCUAAUACCGGAUAGGAGCUCCUGCUGCACGGGGGGGGUUGGAAAGUUUCGGCGGUUGUGGAUGUACUCGCGGCUUACCAGCUUGUUGGUGGGGUAGUGGCUUACCAAGGCUUUGACGGGUAGCCGGCCUGGGAGGGUGACCGGGCACAUUGGGACUGGGAUACGAGCCAGACGGCUACGGGGGGCAGCAGUGGGGAAUAGUGCAAGAUGGGCGGAAGGCGGAAGGAGGAACGUCGCGUGGGGGAUGACGGCCAUCGGGGUGUAAACCGCUUUCGCCUGUGACGAAGCGUGAGUGACGGUAAUGGGUAAAGAAGCACCGGCUAACUACGU